rnacentral:rRNA from 1 species
AUACGUAGGUGGCAAGCGUUGUCCGGAAUUACUGGGUGUAAAGGGAGCGUAGGCGGGGAUGCGAGUCAAAUGUUAAAACUAUCGGCUCAACUGGUAAGUGCGUUUGAAACUGCAUUUCUUGAGUGAAGUAGAGGCAGGCGGGAUUCCUAGUGUAGCGGUGAAAUGCGUAGAUAUUAGGAGGAACACCAGUGGCGAAGGCGGCCUGCUGGGCUUUUACUGACGCUGAGGCUCGAAAGUGUGGGGAGCAAACAGGAUUAGAUACCCUGGUAGUCCACACUGUAAACGAUGAUUACUAGGUGUGGGGGGACUGACCCCUUCCGUGCCGGAGUUAACACAAUAAGUAAUCCACCUGGGGAGUACGGCCGCAAGGUUGAAACUCAAAGGAAUUGACGGGGG